rnacentral:rRNA from 1 species
GAUGAACGCUGGCGGCGUGCUUAACACAUGCAAGUCGAGCGAAGCACUCGGAAGUUUUCGGACAGAAGAGUGACUGAGCGGCGGACGGGUGAGUAACGCGUGGGUAACCUGCCUCAUACAGGGGGAUAACAGUUAGAAAUGACUGCUAAUACCGCAUAAGCGCACAGAACCGCAUGGUUCGGUGUGAAAAACUCCGGUGGUAUGAGAUGGACCCGCGUCUGAUUAGGUUGUUGGUGAGGUAACGGCCCACCAAGCCUUCGAUGGAUAGGGGUUCUGAGAGGAAGGUCCCCCACAUUGGAACUGAGACACGGUCCAA